rnacentral:rRNA from 1 species
UACGUAGGGUGCAAGCGUUGUCCGGAAUUAUUGGGCGUAAAGAGCUCGUAGGCGGUUUGUCGCGUCUGCCGUGAAAGUCCGGGGCUCAACUCCGGAUCUGCGGUGGGUACGGGCAGACUAGAGUGAUGUAGGGGAGACUGGAAUUCCUGGUGUGGCGGUGAAAUGCGCAGAUAUCAGGAGGAACACCGAUGGCGAAGGCAGGUCUCUGGGCAUUAACUGACGCUGAGGAGCGAAAGCAUGGGGGAGCGAACAGG